rnacentral:lncRNA from 1 species
UGUGUUUACAUGAUAUGCAGUAUGCAAGCUCUUAAAUGUUUAAAUAUUGUCAUUUACUACCAGAAUUGGAGGAAGCCUCACACAGGCAAUCUUGAGCAACCUAUUACCAAGGAAGAGAUUCUACAGAGUCCUACAUUAAACAAAAUGGUAUAAAUGGAAACAUGUUGUAAGAUCUCUGUAAAGCACCAAGUAUACUCUAUAGAGACUGGCGUCUGAAAAAUCACCUGAGGUGUUGCUGUUGCUGGAGAAAUGUCACUGGGAAAGAUAAAGGACCAUUAUUCUAAAGAGUGUUUCAGGCUGACUGAAUCAGGUCUGAAACGUUAUUGAAAUGGGAAGAUAAACUCAACUAUUUUCAGGUUUCUACAAACUAGAAACCAUGGUAAACCCAGAAGAAAAGGCACUCCAGUUCAACCUUCUCUACAAAUGAAGGAAGGGGCAGCCAAUCUUACUUCUCCCAUAGACCAGACUGAAAGAUGGCUAAGAAUGUACUAAAGCACACUUCCACAUGUAGGCAUGGGCAUUUCUUGAAAGAACUGGCCUUGGGAGAGCAACUGAAGAGGAAAGAACCAUCCUGAAUUCAGGUAGUCAACAGCCUGGAUGUUCUCUUGGAAUAAGUGAAGUAAGAGAAUAUCAGACCAGAAAUUAGUAUUGAGGUUUCUCAAAAGGUUUGAAAGAGAAACACUACAUGGCCCACAGAUAUCACCCCUUGGUGUAUACCCAAAGGAUUCCAUUUCCUACUGUGAGCAUCCAAGCAUAUCCAUGUGGAUUGUUCUCUACUUACAAUAGAAGGAAAUGGAACCAGUAUAGAGACCCAUCAAUAGAUGAAUAGAUAAUGAAAAUGUAGUAUACAUACAUGAUGGAAUUUCAUUCAACUGUAGAGAAAAUGGAGUCAUUACAUGCGUAGGGAAGGGAAUUAAUAUGGAAGGUACAAUUUUUAAAGCUCACAGACAGUACAAUAGAUUUUAAAGUAAGACAUAGAACAGGGUAGGUGAAAAUCUGGGAUUCCAGGAGGGGAGGAGGGGGAAAAGUUAGAUAUGGAAUAGAAAUACACAGCUUACUAAGAAAGAGGUGAGAAAAUUUCUCUCCCAAAUGGAAGCAGGCUAGUGAGUUGAGGAAACAGCCCCAAUACAUCUGGCUGCAGUGUGUGGUCUUUUAUAGCCCCCAACUUGUCCUCUAUCAGCUUUAUUUUGUGCAUGCUUUGUUGGUUACCUGAUGCCCAGAUAAGGAAAGGCUUCAAGUUUCCCUUGGCAAGCUGGCUUCUUCCACGUGUUAUCUGGACACAUUCUUUUUAAAGUUACUACUAGUCUGUCAUAACUCUCGGGAGCUGUGGUCCUAAAAACAACUUUUUUCAGGAUAUAUAUAUCACAUAUAUUACACACACAUAUAUAUACACACAUACAUAUAUACAUAUAUACACAUAUGCAUACAUAUUUUAAGGAUGUGGUAAAAGAUUGGUAGAAGAAAUUAAUUGGAAGUUGGUGUGAAUUUGUGAGCACUGAGAACCAACAGUAUCAAAUAUAUAUAAAAGAAAACCAGAGCAUAGAGUUACAUUACUGACAGAUGUAAACAAUCUGUCUAAACGGAGCUUAUCCUUAUAUUGUAGCUGGAGUUACUGUCAUUGUAGC